rnacentral:rRNA from 1 species
AUUGAACGCUGGCGGCAGGCCUAACACAUGCAAGUCGAGCGGAUGAAGGGAGCUUGCUCCUGGAUUCAGCGGCGGACGGGGGAGUAAUGCCUAUGAAUCUGCCUGGUAGUGGGGGAUAACGUCCGGAAACGGGCGCUACUACCGCAUACGUCCUGCGGGAGAAAGAGGGGGAGCUUCGGACCUCAUGCUAUCAGAUGAGUCUAGGCCGGAUUAGCUAGUUGGUGGGGUAAAGGCCUACCAAGGCGAGUAUCCGCAUCUGGUCUGAUAGGAUGAUCAGCCACAUGAGAGCGUAGACAGGGUCCAGGGUCCUGAGGUAGGGAGCAGUGGGGAAUAUUGGACAGUGGGGGAAAGCCUGGUACAGCCAGGCGGAGUGUGUGAAAAAGGUCUUGGGAUUGUAAAGCACGUUAAGUUGUGGGAAAGGGCAGUAAGUUAAGACGUUGCGGGUUUGACGGUAACAGGAGAAUAAGCACCGGCUAACUACGUG